UACGUAGGGAGCAAGCGUUGUCCGGAAUCAUUGGGCGUAAAGCGCGCGUAGGGGGCCCUGUAAGUCCGUUGUGAAAGUCAAAGGCUCAACCUUUGAAAGCCGAUGGAUACUGCAGGACUAGAGUACGGAAGAGGCGAGUGGAAUUCCUGGUGUAGCGGUGGAAUGCGCAGAUAUCAGGAGGAACACCAAUAGCGAAGGCAGCUCGCUGGGAAGUUACUGACACUGAGGCGCGAAAGCGUGGGGAGCGAACAGG
rnacentral:rRNA from 1 species